AGAGUUUGAUCAUGGCUCAGGAUGAACGCUGGCGGCGUGCCUAAUACAUGCAAGUCGAACGAGGUACUUUUGUAGUAAUACGAAAGUGUCCUAGUGGCGAACGGGUGAGUAACGCGUUGGUGACCUACCCCAAAGUGUGGGAUAACAGUUCGAAAGGAUUGCUAAUACCGCAUGUGGUCUUCGGAUUUAGAAACUGAUGACUAAAGGAGUAAUCCGCUUUGGGAGGGACCUGCGUCCCAUCAGCUAGUUGGUGAGGUAAUGGCUCACCAAGGCUACGACGGUAGGGGACCUGAGAGGGUGACCCCCCACAAUGGAACUGAAACACGGUCCAUACACCUACGGGUGGCAGCAGUAGGGAAUAUUGCACAAUGGGCGAAAGCCUGAUGCAGCAACGCCGCGUGUGCGAUGAAGGCCUUCGGGUCGUAAAGCACUUUUCUGAGGGAUGAGCAAGGACAGUACCUCAGGAAUAAGUCUCGGCUAACUACGUG
rnacentral:rRNA from 1 species